UACAGAGGUCUCAAGCGUUGUUCGGAUUCAUUGGGCGUAAAGGGUGCGUAGGUGGUGGGGUAAGUCGGAUGUGAAAUCCCGGGGCUCAACCCCGGAACUGCAUUCGAAACUGCCUUGCUCGAGUACUAGAGAGGAGACUGGAAUUUACGGUGUAGCAGUGAAAUGCGUAGAUAUCGUAAGGAAGACCAGUGGCGAAGGCGAGUCUCUGGACAGUUACUGACACUGAGGCACGAAGGCCAGGGGAGCGAACGGG
rnacentral:rRNA from 1 species